UACGAAGGGGGCUAGCGUUGCUCGGAAUGACUGGGCGUAAAGGGCGCGUAGGCGGCGCAGUUAGUCAGGCGUGAAAUUCCUGGGCUCAACCUGGGGACUGCGCUUGAUACGGCUGUGCUUGAGGAUGGAAGAGGCUCGCGGAAUUCCCAGUGUAGAGGUGAAAUUCGUAGAUAUUGGGAAGAACACCGGUGGCGGAGGCGGCGAGCUGGUCCAUUACUGACGCUGAGGCGCGACAGCGUGGGGAGCAAACAGG
rnacentral:rRNA from 1 species